GGAUGGUUAUUUAAUCGACUCUUCCUCUCUGGUCUACAGGUUCACUCUUUGACAUUACACAACCCCUGGGAGGUUCGUUUCAGCCUCGUCGUGCACAAAGACAGCAGCGAUGAUCAUCAGGCUCGGCAGACUGACUCCUGGAUACUUCCGUCUCCUGCAGAGGCAGGUAGCAGGUGAGGUUCAGGCCCCAACGCACGACCGCGCCGUCAACCAGAUCGCCAUGAUGCUGGCCAUCAUGGGCCUCAGCCUGUCGUAUUACAGUGCCAAACAAAUGACCGAGAAGGUUCGUCGCGAACCCGCCCCGUGAAGAUGUACGAAUGCGCUCCGGAUUGACGGCGUCCAUAAAGAUGUUCAGAUGUCGAAGAUUCAGACUCUACCUUUCUAUAACCUCUAGGGAUCGCACCUCUCGGGACUUCUGCUUAGGGGUUCUCUUGCUUUAGUUUAGCUCUCAAUGGAUCUGGAAGGGGUUGUGGCCUGAGUUUUAAUAGUUGACUUGAUGCAUGCAUCAGAGAGUCAGUCAGUUCUGCUGUAGAUUCAAAACCUGAGCUUCACAUUGCAUCUGGAGGUCCACUCUGAGCCAUAAUGUGUUUUAAAAAGGAAAGGACCUCUGUGUUUGAGAUGUACCAAGCAACUAUUGAAAGCAGGUCCAAUGCACAAGAGUGAAAUGCUCAGAUUUUCCCCCAAAAGAUGCUAUUGAAGAACAUCAGAGGCUUGGGGACUUAUAGUGGAGGUGCUGCUCUACAAUACUACACUUGGUGUUAGACACUUUAGGAAAUGUACUACACAGGACCUUAUGUUAAAGUGACUUGUUCUUUUCAUUAGAACUUAAGAAAAUAUCUUCUCAUUGGUCUCCAACACUUUAGAUGUUAAUGCUGACUUUGUGUGCAAUUGCAUGAGUUUUAUUGAAACCAAUCUGUAAUGUUCUUUCUAAUGCUUUUUUAUGAUAAUGUGAUUAAGAUGAAUGUACUGUAUGUUAUAUUUUUAAGACACAACGAUCAAAUAAAGCUGUGAAUAUUUUGAACACGA